CGACACGUAGCUCAACAGCAGAGCACCGGGCUCGGGACCCGGAGGGUGCGGGGGCAGGACCUGCCGUGUCGG
rnacentral:tRNA from 1 species